rnacentral:RNase_P_RNA from 2 species
UUUGCCAGAUAUGCAAUCGCUCCGCAUAGCGGAGAGGAACCUCCGGACUCCAUAGGGAGCUGUGCCAUCCGCAAGGAUGGGUAUGCAUUGUGAAAACUUUGCAUAACUGAAAGUGCAACAGAAAACAUACCGCCCCGAUAAGAUCGGGGUAAGGGUGAAAAGGCGAGGUAAGAGCUCACCUGACAUAUGGCAACAUAUGUUAUGGCAAACCACACAGGGAGCAAGGACAAGCAUGCCUUAUGUCUUUCCCGGACGCAGCAAUGCUGCAGGCAGGGUAGUCCGCUUAGAGAAAUGAUUGCUUAAAACAGAAUCCGGGGUAUCAUCUGGCAAAGAAU